CGCCUUCGGUUGUCAACUUAUAAGUGUCACCACCGGGGAUGCUUCCAUCGCUUCGGAGUGAUUUUUAAAGGUGCGCAAGCAAAAAACAAGGGAAAAUUACGAUGGGAGCCUCUUCCAGCAACCCGAGGACCGUCACGAUCGAUAACGAUUCACCGGUGGGAGUCAUAGACAUUUCCGACGACGUCGUAAAUAGGCUCAAGUCCGGAAUGCCCCCGAAAGAAGGUACUAGACAGCAGCAGUCGAGUGCCCCAUCCGUUGGCGCUGGGCCAAGUUCUUACCCGAAUCCUCUGCCGCCGCCACCGACCGGUUUUUACGGAGAACCCUCGUUAACAUCGAUGCAAAUCCGUCGCGAGAAAGAACAGGAACUGCGAGCCAACGAUGUCUACUGGACAAAGCGACUGCAGACUCUCGAGGCCAACCUCCAGAAGACUAACCAGAUACUGGAGAAGGAAUAUAACGAUGCGAUUGCCGAUGUGAAGAAACGUUUUGAUAGCACUGCCGUGGCCCAUCAGCUGCCCCCGUGCCAGGAUCUAAAGGCCAAGGUGGUAGAGUGCUACAAAAAGAACCAGCAUGAAACGCUCAACUGUUCCGCGGACGUGCGAGCCUUCACCGACUGUGUUAACUUACACCGCAUUCAGCUGCUGAAGGAGAAAGCAUCCGGAUCCGAUAAACCGGCCAAGUAGUUUUGAGCGAAAUGCGCUGGAAAGUUAUCUGCAAAACAAAAACAUGCUGUACUAGUAAGUGUUUUCUACUUUUCGUGCUGGGACACAAUUUCUUGUAACUCCUGGAAACUAUCGUACCCCACGAUGCUCUUGCCGUGGCCGUCUUGUCCCCAGUACACACUUUUCGCGUCUCUUUCCGAAAGUCCCGUUUCGAGCACCUGCUUGCUGUUCCCUUCUUCUGGCUUGCGUUUGGUGAUGUUUUGUGCGGCUUCGUCCGGAAUCUGCUCCGGAGUUUUUGGUUGCUGCAGCACGGCGUUCCGCCGGACGAUGGUCGUCUUGACCAGGGAGCUCGGAUCGUCCACCGUUUCGUAGCUGUGCAGAUUGUUUCGCUCUUUUUGAGAGUUGUCUUCACCGUCACCACUGCUGCCGUUUCCGGCG